ensembl:lncRNA
GAUGAAUUGAUGUCUGUCGGAGAGAUAGGAUCCAAGCCAGGAGAGGGCGGUGCCAGUGAUGCCAAGGGUGGAUUGGAGACGGGAGAGGAGAAUGGAGUGAUUGAUCGUGUCAAAGGCAGCACUGAGGUCAAGGAGGAUGAGGAUAUUUAGGGAGCCAGUGUCAGAGGAUAGCAGAAGGUCAUUGGUCACUUUGAGGAAGGCAGUUUCUGUACUGUGUUUGGAGCGGAAACCGGAUUGGAAAAGUUCAAAGAGGUCGUUGGUGUCAAGGUAACUUCUAUAACUCAUCCCUCUCAUCCUGCCUUGAAGAGUAUCCAGGGGGCGUGGCUUGAUUGAGUGAGAAAUAGUCCAUGGGUUUUUGCCAGGUUUCAGUGAGACAGAGAAAAUCCAGUGCUGAAUCAGAAAUAAAUUCACUGAGGAAGUCCUUUUUUAUUAAGUGAACGGGUGUUUAGAAGUGCAAAUGUCAGAAGAGAUGAGUUUUUGUUGGUGACAGGUGGAGGAGCUCUGGGUAGCGGAGUGAGAUAAACAGUGCGCACGGUGUGGUUGUAAUGUUGAUGACGUCGCGUCUUUGGCGGGUGCCGAUUGGCCCACAGUGAGGAAAUGGAAUUUUCUGAGCCGGAGUAAACAAAGUCCCUCCGGCUGCCUCUGUGGACAUAUCGUGGCCGACGAAGGAGUCCAAGUUCUUUGAUUGUGCUGGAUAUAAUGUGUCCGGGAGGAGUGCAUGGUGAAGAGCGUAAUUGGAGGAGCUCGGAGAUGGAAUACCAGUGUUUAACUGAUAUUUAGUGCUGGCUCAAUUAAGGUGAAGCCACUGAGCCAGCACAGCGGAGGCAGAGGAGUGGAGCAAGCCGGUUGUAGCUACGCUGGAGACGGGGAAGCCAGUUGGACGUCGCCGGAGGGGUCACAAGCGCAAGCUGGACGAGGCCCAGGAGGAGGAGCGGGGUGAGGAUGAGGAGGACAGUAAGGAUGAGCAGGGCGGGGCCAGCAGCUCGCCCUCCAAACAGGAAGACCAACCCGUCGACCAGGACGCCGAUAACGAAGACGACGAGGAAGAGGAGGGCAGCAGCUCAGAAGCGGACGAGAUGGCCGCGGCCUUGGACCUCGAACUAAACGACUUCAUGUGACCCGGGGGCGGAGUCGGGACUGAAACGCCCCGAGGGACGGAGUCGGGACUGAAACGCCCCGAGGGGCAGAGUCGGGACUCAAACGCCCCGAGGGGCGGAGUCGGGACUGAAACGCCCCGAGGGGCCCCCUACAAACCUUUAAAUUUCCCAAAAAUCUAUUUUUUUUACGUAUUUCAUUCGCUUUUGUAAUGUGUGUGUGUGUGUGUGUGUGUGUGUGUGUGUGUGUGUGUGUGUGUGUGUGUGUGUGUGUGUGUGUGUGUGUGUGUGUGUGUGUGUGUGUGUGUGUGUGUGUGACGAACGGGCACUGCCGUAAGCAUUUGAUGCACUGUACAGAAGGUAGCUUGUGUGUUUCCGUGUAAAUAAGUACCUUCCAGAUGUUUGUUUUUUAUUGGGGUAGAUACGGCUGCUUUGAUGGGGUUGGAAAAUAAAAUUGACAUUUUAUUGUGACAUUUGAUACAUUUUGAUUUCACUUGAAUUAGCUUUUUACUAUUUCGUUUUUCUUUAUAUAAAUAUAUAUAAAUGAGUGAAAAGAUCAAUAAAAUGGGGUAAGAAAAAUAUUUCUGUCAUUUCGAUUUCUGUCCAUUCGUAGAGUUUGGAAUCUUUGAAUCUUCCCGGGUCAAAAUAAUAACCAGCGAUUUGUGUUGGAAUCCAUUUAAUUUGGUCUGUUCUUGGUCAUUAAUGUUUGUCAGUUUUCCAUUUAUCAUUGGUUCACUUGCAAAUCUACUGACCUUUUGACCUUGUUCUAACCUUUAUAGGAAGACAAGGCUUUGUUUUUUAUAAAAAUGUUGCCCCCCAGCUGGCUGUUUGCCCUCGGCCAUUGGUUCUCAAACUGGUACGCGUGCGUAAUUUAGUGGUACCUCCAAAAGUGUAUCACAUUUAUUAAAGAACAAUAUCGAAAUACUAGCAUUAAUGGAAAUAAAUUAAACAUGAGGUCAUUAAAUGGGGUUUAAAAUAAGUUGGAGGAAUAAAUGUGUCUCCUGAGUGAGCUCUGUGUAGCUGAAUAGGGACGCAGGCCAACGCUCCUGUAUUUUGUGACUUUAUAACAUCGGUCAUAAUGGUGGGACUUGGUAUGAGAGGUUUGAGAACCACUGCCCCUGGCUAAGCACAAAUAGGUCAUGACAUGCCAAGAUAUGAAUGAUGCCAUCCUUUAAAAAAAUUGUUUGUUGUACAUAGUUGACAAUUGGUUCGUUUGUGUGAUCAUGCUUCAUUACAAGUCUUGGCAUGGUCUUCAAGGCAGGUGCUGCUCACAUUUCAUUUUCAAUCCAAAUACAUUUUGGUGGGAGAAGCCAUUAAUUUAUGCCAUGGAGUCCUUUGCUAAACGUGUAUUGGUCCACCUGUAGCUCAAUAUUUUGUUGUGCUGUCUGAAAUGCUAGUGUUCACUAUACCAUACUCUUCUUGAUAACCACAAUGCACCAUAUAAUAAGUGUACAAAGGAUGUUCACAUAUUUCUCACUAUAGUCUAUUAUAUGAUGCAAAGCCGUUUUCAUUGCAUUCACUUUUACAUUUAGGGCAUUUAGCAGACGCUUUUAUCCAAAGCGACUUACAAUAAGUACAUUUGUCUUGUCAUUUCCAUGGAGUUCAUCUAAUGGAGGUGUGGAGGCGACCGCUAACACGUCUGCUACUUUAUGUGACCAAUACACGGCACGCCAAUAGAUUUACGGUGCAUAAUUAAUUUCUGAGUUCCCCCACACUUGUUCCCUUAACAGUGUAUUAUCCAGUGCUCACACAAAAUGUGUCUGAUUUUAAUCUAUGGUAUUGCAAGCCCUGGACUUAGUGUAUGACAUCCUUCUCAUCGGUAAUUUGUGCAUAUGGUCUUAUUUUUUAACAUUCCAAGAAUCCAUGGCGAUUUAAUGUCUUGUUUCACAUGCAUCUAGGUUAUAUUCCAACAUAAUGCCAUUAACCUAAAUUGUAGAAAAGGAUAGACAAUCCAAAGGUGAAGUCUAUGCUCCAGGUUGCAGCCAUUUCAUAAUCCAACACAGUCACCCUUGCCUUUGACUUCACCAUUUUACCAGCAUCCACCAACAUUUACAAUUACAAUUUUGUCAGUUCUCUUCUGUCAUAUGUUUCCCUCGAGAACAUAUCAAAUAUGUGGAAAUGUAUUUCCUAUGUCAACCAGAGAAAGAGAUUAGUUUUCCAUUGAAUAAAAAUAUGUUUAUGAUG